AGAUUAAGCAAAAAAGAGCGCAGGGUGGAUGCCUUGGCACUAAGAGCCGAAGAAAGACGUGAUAAGCUGCGAAAAGCUGCGGGGAGAUGCAAAUGAUCCUUGAUCCGCAGAUGUCUGAAUGGGGAAACCCGGUACGAAGAACUCGUAUCAUCCAUACGCCAAUCCAUAACGUAUGGAGGGGAACCCGGUGAACUGAAACAUCUAAGUAGCCGGAGGAAGAGAAAGAAACAUCGAUUUUGUUAGUAGCGGCGAGCGAAAGCGAAAGAGGCCAAACCGGAGUGCGUGCACUCCGGGGUUCGGACCGCAUUUAAGAUUCAGUGAUUCUAGCAGAAAGGUUUGGGAAAGCCUGCCGGAGAGGGUGAAAGCCCCGUAAGCGAAAGGAGAACUGACUGAGCGGGAUCCAGAGUACAUCGAGACACGAGAAACCUUGAUGGAAAGAGCGGGGACCACCCCGUAAGCCUAAAUACUACUUAGUGACCGAUAGCGCAUAGUACUGUGAAGGAAAGGUGAAAAGGACCCCGGGAGGGGAGUGAAAGAGAACCUGAAACCCUGUGUUUACAAGCUGUGGAAGUUCUUUAAAUGAACAACCGCGUACUUUUUGUAGAACGGUCCGGCGAGUUGCGGAUACUGGCAAGGUUAAGCACUUAAGGUGCGGAGCCGAAGGGAUACCAAGUCUUAACAGGGCGUUAAGUCAGUAUACGCAGACCCGAAACCGGGUGAUCUAUCCAUGUCCAGGUUGAAGUUGUCGUAAAAGACAAUGGAGGACCGAAGCCACAUCCGUUGAAAAGGGUGGGCAUGAGGUGUGGAUAGGGGAGAAAUUCCAAUCGAACCCGGAGAUAGCUGGUUCUCCUCGAAAUAGCUUUAGGGCUAGCCUCGAUUUAGUCUUAUGGAGGUAGAGCACUGAAUUUCCGCGGGGGCGUCAAAGCUUACCAAAGAAUAUCAAACUCCGAAUGCCAUGUAGAUGAUGAUCGGGAGUCAGACUGCACGAGAUAAGUUGGGCAGUCAAAAGGGAAAGAGCCCAGACCACCGGCUAAGGUCCCAAAGUGCGUGUUAAGUGGAAAAGGAUGUGGGAAUUCGAAGACAACUAGGAUGUUGGCUCAGAAGCA
rnacentral:rRNA from 1 species